rnacentral:rRNA from 1 species
GACGAACGCUGGCGGCGUGCUUAACACAUGCAAGUCGAACGGAAAGGCCCCUUUGGGGGUACUCGAGUGGCGAACGGGUGAGUAACACGUGAGUAACCUGCCCUUGACUUCGGGAUAACUUCAGGAAACUGGGGCUAAUACCGGAUAGGAAUCCUUGCUGCAUGGUGGGGGUUGGAAAGCUUCGGCGGUUUUGGAUGGACUCGCGGCUUAUCAGCUUGUUGGUGGGGUAGUGGCUUACCAAGGCUUUGACGGGUAGCCGGCCUGAGAGGGCGACCGGCCACAUUGGGGCUGAGAUACGGCCCAGACUCCUACGGGAGGCAGAAGUGGGGAAUAUUGCACAAUGGGCGGAAGCCUGAUGCAGCAACGCCGCGUGCGGGAUGACGGCCUUCGGGUUGUAAACCGCUUUCAGCAGGGGCGAAGCUUGUGGUGACGGUACCUGCAGAAGAAGCACCGGCUAACUACGUG